rnacentral:rRNA from 1 species
GUUGUUGCGGUUAAAAGCUCGUAGUUGGAUUUUGGGCGCAGGCGGCCGGUCCGUCGCAAGGCGUGUACUGGCCGUCCUGGCCUCACCUCCGGUUCUCCGCCGGUGCCCUUGACUGAGUGUCGGCGGCGGCCGGAACGUUUACUUUGAAAAAAUUAGAGUGUUCAAAGCAGGCGAUUCGCCUGAAUAAUGGUGCAUGGAAUAAUGGAAUAGGACCUCGGUUCUAUUUUGUUGGUUUUCGGAGCGCGAGGUAAUGAUUAAGAGGGACAGACGGGGGCAUUCGUACUGUGCCGUUAGAGGUGAAAUUCUUGGAUCGGCGCAAGACGAACGACUGCGAAAGCAUUUGCCAAGAAUGUUUUCUUUAAUCAAGAGCGAAAGUCAGAGGUUCGAAGACGAUCAGAUACCGUCCUAGUUCUGACUAUAAACGAUGCCAACUAGCGAUCGGGGGGCGUUAGUUUUACGACCUCUCCGGCAGCUUGCGGGAAACCAAAGUCUUUGGGUUCCGGGGGAAGUAUGGUUGCAAAGCUGAAACUUAAAGGAAUUGACGGAAGGGCACCACCAGGAGUGGAGCCUGCGGCUUAAUUUGACUCAACACGGGAAAUCUCACCCGGCCCGGACACAGUGAGGAUUGACAGAUUGAGAGCUCUUUCUUGAUUCUGUGGGUGGUGGUGCAUGGCCGUUCUUAGUUGGUGGAGCGAUUUGUCUGGUUAAUUCCGAUAACGAACGAGACUCUGGCUUGCUAACUAGUUACGCGACCCAAUCGGUCGGCGUCUAACUUCUUAGAGGGACUAGUGGCGUUUAGCCACACGAGAUUGAGCAAUAACAGGUCUGUGAUGCCCUUAGAUGUUCGGGGCCGCACGCGCGCUACACUGACCGGAUCAGCAUGUGCUCGCCUUGGCCGACAGGUCUGGGUAACCCGCUGAACCCCGGUCGUGCUAGGGAUAGGGAAUUGCAAUUAUUUCCCUUGAACGAGGAAUUCCCAGUAAGCGCGAGUCAUUA